rnacentral:rRNA from 1 species
CCUACGGGAGGCAGCAGUGGGGAAUUUUGGACAAUGGGGGCAACCCUGAUCCAGCCAUGCCGCGUGUGUGAAGAAGGCCUUCGGGUUGUAAAGCACUUUCGGCCGGAACGAAAUCGCGCGGGUGAAUAUCCCGUGUGGAUGACGGUACCGGAAGAAGAAGCACCGGCUAACUACGUGCCAGCAGCCGCGGUAAUACGUAGGGUGCGAGCGUUAAUCGGAAUUACUGGGCGUAAAGUGUGCGCAGGUGGCCGCGCAAGUCGAGUGUGAAAUCCCCGAGCUUAACUUGGGAAUUGCGCUCGAAACUACGUGGCUCGAGUGUGGCAGAGGAAGGUGGAAUUCCACGUGUAGCGGUGAAAUGCGUAGAGAUGUGGAGGAACACCGAUGGCGAAGGCAGCCUUCUGGGCCAACACUGACGCUCAUGCACGAAAGCGUGGGGAGCAAACAGGAUUAGAUACCCUGGUAGUCCACGCCCUAAACGAUGAUGACUAGUUGUUGGGGGAGUUAAAUCCCUUAGUAACGCAGCUAACGCGUGAAGUCAUCCGCCUGGGGAGUACGGUCGCAAGAUUAAAACUCAAAGGAAUUGACGG